CAGAAUAUGAAUUACAGCCCCAGUCUCCCUGCAGAUCUCAAGUCUGGUGAUUUGCUAUAAUGAUUUCAGCUUUUUUUUAAGGAGCUGAUAAUAUAAUUGUAAAAUAUCAACCUGAAAUAAAAACUGCUUAUAUUAUGUGAAAAUGAUCAAAAUAUAUCGCUAUAUUUUACUUUAUUUAUGCUGAAUAGGUGACCCAAUAUAGUUGAUGCCAAAACAGUACUGAGUGGCCCUGCCUACCACAUCUGCCUCUUCCACCAGUCUUGGGUUAAAUGUUGGAUCUUUGAGACAUUGUAAGGUGUGCCUGAAUGCCUAUAGGUGAAAGGGUUUGUUUCCUAAUUGUUUCCCGCAUUCCAUAGUAUAAGUAUAUUUGAUUAUUUAGUACGUAUUUAUUGGCUCAGUAAAGUUUGUGUCUCUUUCGUUGUGUCAAUAUUUAUUUUUACAAGGUUAUCCGGAUCCCGUGGAGUCUCCUGCAGCCUUCUGAGAGUUUCUACAUAAUCUGAAAAUGGUACUACAGCCCUCUGCUGUAGCUGUGGAUCUAUUUCCAUGUCUUAUAACAAGUGUUUGACAAGAAACAUUAGUGUAUCCAUUCCGGGGUCUAAAUGUUUGUUUCAUAAUCUGCACAGUUGUAAUUACCAAUAUCAGAGUGAUAUUUGACUUAAAUCAGUUACUAUUCCUAUCAUUCACAUUUUUCGGAGAUUUUUAGUUUCAACCCUUGAAAAUGGCCUUAAAAAUCACAAUUUUACAUGACACCUGAAGUAACUUUCUGUCACACUAGCAUUGUUUAAUCUAGCGUGGGUGACAGCCUGUAGCAAUAAUACACAAAAAACAUUGUUUUCCUUUUUGGCAGAUCCACUACAAGGAAUAACGCUGCUCUACUAGUUAUGUUAUCAGUCGAUUCCGUUCAUGGUUAUAAAAUGAAAUUGGAAUGUUUGGCAAUGGCUAUCUGGUAAAGAAAUUGCUACAGCGCCAAAUGAAACUUCCGGCUACCCCAUCCACACAUCCAUUUUCAUCUACGGCAAGAAGUAUUUUGUCUUUGUAUUUUGUCAUUUGCAUUUCCCUCUUCUGUUGUGGGAUUCAACCUGUGAGCUGCGAGAUCUGUGGCAUGGCAGAGGAAAAAAGCAUUAUGCAGGGAGGAUCCAUCUUGCUGGGUUGGUGUGUCAGUAUCUCUAAAUGUGUUGUGGCUGAAACUCUAGCUGGGCCAGCACGUGUGCAGCUGGGCAGCGGAGUGCUGUUCUCGAUAGCCCCUCACCAGGCCCUGGAACAAGGCCACACUGAAGAGAUGCACUGAGGAGCAGUGUCCAGGGCCUCUCCAGCCCAAACUAACAUUACAGAUGUCAGGGCAGUGGCAGAUUUUUUUUUAAGAUAACCCUUUGGCCUUAUUAUUUUUUGGACUCUGGAUUUGGGUGGGUGGGGGAAAGAAGCUGAAUAUUAUAGUUUAAAUGAGAAAAUAGCUUUUCUGUAUUUUUUUUUAAGUGGGGUCAAAAAAAUAAGAAAUCUUUAAAAAAAUAUAUGGAAAAAAUGUGUUUUUAGAAUGGUAAUUUAAGAGGCCUUUUUAACUAAAAUGUAUGACUUGCGAGGCCCAAUGAUUGCCAGCCCUUGUCAAUUCACAAACCUUUUUUUUUUUUUGCAAGAUGGAUGGAAUUAGUUAUGACCGUGUCCCUUCCUGCUUUUUACCUGCUUUUUGUUUUCUUUGCUUUGUUUCUUCAGCAUGUUGUUCCUCCAACAGAGCUUCUGCACAAAUGUCUUCUGUUCAUCUUGAAAAUGAAAACAUGCAGAAUUUUACGUGACUGCUUUUUUUGCCUCACAAUUAUGCUGUGAAUUUUACAAGAAUUUAUUUUCCCUUUUGAUAAUUUAUUGUACCAAAGCUGUUUUUUUAUAGCACAUAGAUGUCUGUAACCAAUAAUGUAGCAGUUCUGCACUUUGACACAAGGUGUAUCAAGACCUUUUUUAAAUGUCAGUAAAAAUGGCUGUAUCUAUUGCUUUAGCAAAACUGGAACUGUUGUUGAACUCAGUACAUUUACUGUUAGCUGUAUCCUCGACAGAAUUGGUUGUACGCUUUUUUUUCUCUCUAAAAAAAACCCACAAAACAAACAAAAACAGAUCUCUCAUUGGUAGAACUUUUUUCCGUUAUCAAGGACUUGAGGAACAAUAGAUGUCGGCGCUGGUUGCUACUCUGCAGGUUCCGGAGUAUCAGUAUAGUGGCCGUGAGUCGAGGCAAGUCCUUGUAUUCAUGAGUCUGAAGUGAGAGAAAACGUGAAAAACAGUGCAUUAAUCCUUCAAUUUGUGGCCUGUGAUUGAGGCUGUUUCAAACGUGCCUAUCUAUCUGGGUAAAGCUGCCUUAAAACGACUUCCGUCAGUCUUCACGGCAGUGGCUAAAAUGGUACCCUUUUUCCCUUUCAAUUUUGAAGCAACCCUAUUUGACCUAGCCAAGCAGAGGCACUGUACACAUUUAACGUUUAGAUCGUUUUGGAGAUGGGAUAAUGCUCUAAAUUGGCUUAAAUCCAUGUUUGACUGAAGCUUUCACCAUGGGUGUUGAAUCCAAAAGGAAACUAGUAGAGAUGUAUGGUGUGAAGUGAGUCCUGCCUACUGGAGCAUCAUACUCUAGUCUCAUUGUGUGAUGUGAUGCCUGAGGCCUACGUUUUGUACCAGUUGCAAAAAUGGAAAGGGGCGGCAACAGCUAGAAGAAAGGUGUCCAUGAAAACACAGGCUUCAGGUGUUUACUUUUCAACCCCAUUUUAAUAGUUGAAAUAGAAUUUAUGUAUAUAUUUAUAUUUUUUUAAUAAAGGAAGUUUAGAACUCACUACUUUUUUCCUAAUGGUAUUUUGAGUACAUUUAAGUCAAUGUGGAGACCAUGCAGUGGAAGUUCUUCUGUGAUAUUAGUCAAUGGGUAACAGUGCUUCCAGGCCAAAGUAGUUGACAAUGCCAGUACAAAUGCAAACUUGUAGGGUUUAAAUUUUAACAAAAGAGUAGAUAUUCAUACCUUAAAUAUUAUAGACAGGGUAUAGUGUGUGGGUGUAUGUCUAUGAACCUGAAUGACAGAUGUGUUUUAAUAUAUAACAAAUACAUAAACAAUUAUGUACACGUUACAGGAACUAUUUUUAGUUGCGUUGAAUUUGGCAUAAGCUUCAACAGUGGGUCCAUUUGAAGUCAGACUACUGACACGUGUGAAAGCCAUGAUCGUCGACACAAUAUAACCAGUGCAUCGUCAACAAACAUAACGUUUACUCCCGAGUGUUCAAUAUAAUUUCUGCUCUGCUCUCUGUUUUAUUAAAAUAAAGACUUUUUUGUCCUCCUUACCACCCCAUGCCUUUCUGUCUCCCAGUCUGGUUUUGAGUGAUUGACAACCCAGUUUGGUUACAGGAUGUCUGACGUGCACUGUAAAGAUUAAACAGCAUGGGAAAAGGAUAAGUACCUGUGUCAACAGAUUGUAAGAUCUAGUCAAUACUUGCUGUGUAUAUGAUAAUGUUACAAAAAGAAAAAAAGGACAAACCCUUUGUAUUAUAUUCAAGCGGUC
ensembl:lncRNA